UAAAAUAUAACUCAUAUACCUGUUUUGUUCCAUCCAUAUGAAAAUAGACUAAUAAUUCUUCAAUUACAUAUUUUAUUCAUCAUCUAAUUGUAUCUCUACUAUUUUUAAUGAUUUUUCAAACUCACAUCACUGCUGCUGUCUAAAUCUAUUUUAUGGUAAAUUUUGCCUAUUUCAUGGUUUCCAUGGAUUAGCUAGCAAUUUAGCAUACAUAACACCAAAUAUGAUCAUGAUUAGCCAUUCCAAUGGCUAAUCAUUACCAAGCAUUUCCAUACCACUCAAUAUCCAUAUCAUAAGACCAUAUACACAAAAUGAUUAUAAUGCUAUACAUGCCAUACUCAAAAUAUACAAGCCAUUAUGCCAAGAUGGUAUACGGAUAGUGUGAGUGGGCCUCCGACUGUUCCCGAUUUCCGAGCUGGCUUGUCAAAACUACAAGGAAUGAAAAGGAGGGAGUAAGCAUAAAUGCUUAGUAAGUCCAUAUGAAAUUAAUAAGCAAUUACCAACAUGCUUUUAAGAUAAAACACCACAAUUGUACAAUUAUACAUACUUAGCUUAAACUGUUUUAUCGAGAUAAAUUUACUAAAUAAUUUAUUUCUGGAGCUACGGAACUUCAAAUUAAGUUUCGUUAAUUUUUCUUGAAACUAGAUUCAUAUACCUUUCUGCCAUAAAAUUUCCAGAAUUUUUGGUUUAGCCAUUUAGUACAGUUUAUUCAUUAAAGUUUCCCCUAUUUCGCUGUCCAAUAGUUCUGAUCUCUCUUCACUAAAAAUUAUUUAUCUCAUAAUUCGGGACUUGGAUGAUGUUCCCGUCUAUCCAUAUUGAAAAUAGACUCGAUAAGGAUUUUAAAUAUAUAAAUUAAAACUCAUAAUUAUUUUUUUACAAUUUCUAAUGAUUUUCUAAAAUCAGAACAGGGGAUCUCGAAGUCAUUCAGACUCUGUCUCACAACAAUUUAAAUAUCUCAUAACAUAAAAUCUAAUUGCAUGUACCGUUUCCUCUAUAUGAAACUAGACUCAUCAGGCUUUAAUCUCAUAUUUUACUCAGCCCGUAACUCAAUUUCCACAAUUUAUGGUGAAUUUCAAAAGUUACACUACUGCAGUAACCCAAAACUGCCAAGGCCAUAUUUAUUCAUUCACCACUAUUAUUCACUAAAUCCAUACAAAAUCAUUUCAUCCAUCAUGGUAAGAACACAUAAUUAUGCUUCAUAAGCAUAGAUCCAUAAUCUCAAUGUCAUCAAGUAUCAAGAACUUAUUCCAAAUCGUGUCAUUUUCAUAGUAUUCACCAAUUCUUAAUCUUUUCGGGCCAUUUUACAUUUUCGUUCAUAAUCAAAUUAGGGAACGAUUACGGAAUUGAAUACCUCAUUAUCACAAUGCCAUAGUAAAACUAUGGUCUUGCACAUAGUCACAUAUCACAUACCGAGGCCAUAGCCCAGCCAUGGUCUUACACGGAUCACGUAUCACACUGAUGCCAUAUCCCAGAUAUGGUCUUAUACAGUAGCACAUAUCACAUUUCUCCGAAGCCAUAGCCCAGCUAUGGUCUUAUACGGAAAUCACAUUUCACAUGUUGCCAUGGUCCAACCAUGGUCUUUUCCGUCAAUUCUUCUUAGCCACUGAAUGAAAGUACUCAAGUCCGUUGUUCCAUUUAAUUUGUACUUUUAUUCAAAUAUCAUUUUACAAUUAUCACAGUUUAAUGACAUUUUAUAUGCAAUAAUAUACUAUAUCAUUCAUGCAAUUUUCAUUUCAAAACAUUAAAUUACACAUUGCAUUAUUAAAAAUCAUAUGAACUUACCUCGAUAUAAAAUAUUAGCAAUCGAGCCUAUUCCUCGUAAACUUUAUUUUUCCCUCGAUCACGACUUGAAUCUCGUUUCUCUUGAUCUAUAAUAUAAAUUAUUUCUACUCAUUAGCAUUUAUUUGAUUUCUAUUUCACUUCACAAUUUAUGCUGUUCAAAUUUCGAAAUUGCACUUUUACCCCAAAAUUUACAGUUUUUACAAUUUAGUCCCUACUCAAUUCACCCAUAAAUUGAACUAAUUUUUCUCAAUUAACUCUUUAUUUUAUCAUUAUAAACUAUUUCACAACCUUUGAUAUUCUGAAUUUCAACACCAACAUCUAAUUCACAAUUUUUUUCACAAUUAGGUCCUAAAUACCAUUUUCUAUCAAAAUGACUUAAUAAAACAACCUUAAUAUGAAAUUAGAACUUCAAUUUCAUAAUAAUUCAUCAUAAAAUGCCCUUACUCAGCCAGGGGAACUUCCAAUUUCAUCCACCAAAUCAAAAACUAAUGAAUUAGAUGAUUGGACCUAAUUGUAAAAGUCACAAAAACAUAAAAAUUACUAAGAAAAAGUAAAAAUUGAACUUACAUGGUGCAAAAAUAUGAAAAACCAGCAUAGUAGACCUACUACGGCGUUUCUGGCUG
rnacentral:lncRNA from 1 species